rnacentral:piRNA from 1 species
UGACAGUGGUGAUGCCUCAUCAUGUGUGUCA